UUCAUUUUUCCUUUCUUUCUUCGCCGAUUUUCUCUCUCUCUCUUCUCUCUCGACACAGAACGGCGACUCAAUGGCUAAUUAAUUCUUCUGUGGAGGAGAAAGAGUGAUGGACUCAUCAAAAUGGUGGUGGAUUGGAAAUCACAACACUACUAAUUUCUCUCCUUGGCUUCAUUCUACUCUCUCUGGUCGCAAAAACCUGUAUUAUUACGAAGCUACAACAAACGAAGGAGAUUGUGUCUGCUGCUUUGUUUGACAUCAUCAGGUCCGUCAAAUAUGCCAUGUUGCUCUGAAACGGGAUCCUGAGUUCAUCAAUUGUGUUCAAGAAGGUACUGGGGAGAAGCACCAAAAGGUCACACAAAUGUACACGAUUGCAUCACUGGAUAGACAUUUCUCGCUUCUAUAUGUGCUUCUUAAAGAAGACAUCGCUGAUAAUGUGGACUAUAAGACUUUGAGGGAAGCUUUGCAGCUGGUGCAUAGCCUGAGAAUGUGGAGUAUGGAUUCUUCAGCUCCACAUCUUCUUUCUCAUUCAUUCUUAUUCUUAUUUUCCUGCAUCUCUUGAUUCUUCAAUAUAUGGUCUAUUAAUGUCUGUUUUGCUUGUUUUUGAUUCAGAUUCUGCCAAAAACAAUAGCUUCUUUGAUCAUUACACAACAUUUAACUUUUGAUUUUGUAGUUUAAGCAAUCUUGCUAGUGGAAGGAUAUUUUAUGUAAAUUUGUUAA